GACGAACGCUGGCGGCGUGCUUAACACAUGCGAGUCGAACGGAAAGGCCCUGCUUUUGUGGGGUGCUCGAGUGGCGAACGGGUGAGUAACACGUGAGUAACCUGCCCUUGACUUUGGGAUAACUUCAGGAAACUGGGGCUAAUACCGGAUAGGAGCUCCUGCUGCAUGGUGGGGGUUGGAAAGUUUCGGCGGUUGGGGAUGGACUCGCGGCUUAUCAGCUUGUUGGUGGGGUAGUGGCUUACCAAGGCUUUGACGGGUAGCCGGCCUGAGAGGGUGACCGGACACAUUGCGACUGAGAUACGGCCCAGACUCGUACGGGAGGCAGCAGUGGGGAAUAUUGCACAAUGGGAGGAAGCCUGACGCAGCCACGCCGCGUGCGGGAUGACGGCCUGGGGGUUGUAAACCGCUUCCGCCUGUGACGAAGAGUGAGUGACGGUAAUGGGUAAAGAAGCACCGGCUAACUACGUG
rnacentral:rRNA from 1 species